GUGCUUGCUUCAGCAGCACAUUUAUGAAAAUUGGAAUGAUACACAGACUCAACAUAGCCCUUGCACAAAUAUGACAUGCAAAUAAGUGAAACUAUAUUAAAAACA